rnacentral:rRNA from 1 species
UACGUAGGGUGCGAGCGUUGUCCGGAAUUAUUGGGCGUAAAGGGCUCGUAGGCGGUUUGUCGCGUCGGGAGUGAAACCAGGUGCUUAACACCUGGCUUGCUUCGAUACGGGCAGACUAGAGGUAUUCAGGGGAGAACGGAAUUUCCGGUGUAGCGGUGAAAUGCGUAGAUAUCGGAAGGAACACCAGUGGCGAAAGCGGCUUCCUGGUCCAGCAUCGACGUUCAGGCACGAAAGCGUGGGGAGCAAACAGG